rnacentral:lncRNA from 1 species
UGGGGUUACCAUAGGGGCUUAGGGGGUGGGUACAGGAGGCGUUAUAGGGUUACAUAGGGGAUGGGUACAGGAGGCGUUAUGGGGUUACAUAGGGGAUGCGUACCGAGAGCGUUAUGGGUUACAAUAGGGGAGGGUGUACAGGAGCGUUAUGGGUUACAUAGGGGAUUAGGGGGUGGGUACAGGAGGCGUUAGGGGUUACAAUCAGGGAUUAGUGGGGGUGGGUACAGGAGGCGUUAUGGGGUUACAUAGGGGGUGUGGUACAGGAGGCGUUAUGGGGUUACAUAGGGGUGGUACAGGAGGCGUUAUGGGUUACUAGGGGGGGUACAGGAGGUCUGUUCAUGGGGUUACCAUAGGGGAGGUGUACAGGAGGUGUUAGGGGUACAUGGGAUGGUAGGUACAGGAGGCCGUUAUGGGGUUACAUCGGGGAUGGGUACAGGAGGCGUUAUGGGGUUACAUAGGGGGGAUGGGUACAGGAGGCGUUAUGGGGUUACAUAGGGGAUGGGUACAGGAGGCGUUAUGGGGUUACAUAGGGAUUAGGGGGUGGGUACAGGAGCGUUAUGUGGGUUACAUAGGGUAUUAGGGGGUGUGGUACAGGAUGUCGUUUAUGGGUUUACAUGGGGGAUUAGGGCGGGGGGUACAGGGGGUAGGGGAUGCAUUAUGGGGUUACUGGGGAUUAGGGGGUGGGUAACAGGGUUAGGGGAUGCAUUAUGGGGUUACAUAGGGGAUGAUUAG